rnacentral:rRNA from 1 species
CCUACGGGAGGCAGCAGUGGGGAAUAUUGGACAAUGGAGGAAACCCUGACCCAGCGACGCCGCGUGAGUGAAGAAGUAUUUCGGUAUGUAAAGCUCUAUCAGCAGGGAAGAAAAAGGUGACGGUACCUGCAGAAGAAGCCUCGGCUAACUACGUGCCAGCAGCCGCGGUAAUACGUAGGCGGCAAUCGUUAUCCGGAAUUACUGGGGGUAAGGGUUGCGUAGGCGGUUAGUCAAGUUAGUAGGGAAAGUCCGGGGCUCAACCCCGGAACUGCUAGGGAAACUGUUGAACUUGAGUGCAGGAGAGGUAAGUGGAAUUCCUGGUGUAGCGGUGAAAUGCGUAGAUAUUAGGAGGAACACCAGUGGCGAAGGCGGCUCACUGGACUGUAACUGACGCUGAGGCACGAAAGCGUGGGGAGCAAACAGGAUUAGAUACCCGGGUAGUC